GAGUGUCCUUCAGACACUGGGAUGGCUGCACCUUUACCCGUCCUCUCCAACUCUCUCCACCUAGAAAGCAUUCUUUUCUCUUAAUUUUGUUAGAGCUAUAUAGGAAUGCUCCUUCAGCAGAAAUGAUAGAGGCUGUUGCUCUCAGAAUCAAAUGCAAUAAUGUGACCUGUAAAUUCCUAUGAAUAUUUGGAUAUUUUAGUGAUAUUUGUUUAUUCAGAAGAGAUUCUGGAUGCAGAACUCUCCUCUCUGUUCUCUAACCCUGCUUUCCACCAUCAUUCUUCUCUCUCUAGGGCACAGAGAGAAUUAAGAACAAUCUAAGGGUCAUUAUGAUGAUCUAACUGCCUUACCUGCUUUUGAACUGGUUGAGCCUCUUGUGGGACCGAAAACAAAAGAAGGGUGUUGAAAUGCAAAUAGAUAACUCUGGGUCCCAGUCCCUGACUGCAAAAGGAAGCCAAAACUGACAACAACGUCUCCUUCUCUACGGAGGUUUGUAGAAAGGCUGUACAAAAAUCUCACAAGAUGUAUUUCUUCUCGUGGACUGGAGUCCCAAGGUGCUUAAGAGCUCUUCAAUUUGUUAAUGGAAAGAAACACCAUUUACACCGGAUGGCUACAAAGCAACCUUAUUCUGGAUCCAGUUGAAAAUCAGGCAUUGCAUCCAGUUAUCAUGGCUUUAAUCUUUAUGCCUCCCCUGCACUGUUUUGGGAAUAUCUUGAUACUGCUAUUUUUGAAGAGUCCAGAUCAGUUAUUCUGCAGAAUGUCUGUUGAUUUGGCUUUGACUGUUUCCUCAUGAGUACAUCCAGAUUAUACAUUUUUGUUGAUGUUGGGUUCUUCUCAGUGAAUCACAUCAGAUGAUGUCAGCACAAGGCCUGAUCAUUUGGUUUAGGUAGCUUUCACUAAACUUUUUCAUUGUAAAUGUACCUAUCCCUUUUCUAAUUAAUAAGUAAUGUGUUGGGUGAUAGUUUGUGUGUGACUAUCUUUUUCUCCACUGACCUUUCAUCCAAUGGUUUCAGCAUUUUAAAUGAUCCUUGGCUGAGUCAGUUGUUUCAGUGGUGGCUGCAGACUUGUGGUUUUCCAAUUCUUUCAUCACUUUUACAUUUAUUAAUUGGCAGUCUACGACUUCUUAUAGCCACAUAAAGAUAAUUCAGGAAUUAUCUGAACCUGUGAAUGUUACCUUAUUUGGAAAAAGAGUCUUUGCAGAUACAAUUCAAUUAAGAAUCUUGAGAUGAGGAGAUUAUCCUGGAUUAUCCAAUGGGCCCUAAAUCCAAUGACAAAUGUUCUUGGCGGAGGCAGAUUUGAGACAGACAGGAGACGAAAAGACACGAAGGAGGGAAGGAAGUGAUGUGACCACAGAAGCAGAGAUUGGAGUGAUAUAGUCACAAGCCAAGGAGCACCAACAGCCACCAGGAGCUGGAAGAGCCCAAGAGUAUAUACUAAUACCUGGAUUUAGGACUUCUGGUCUCUAGAAGUAGGAAAGAAUAAAUGUCUGUUUUUUGU